rnacentral:rRNA from 1 species
UACGAGCGGCCCAAACGUUAUUCGGAUUUACUGGGCUUAAAGAGUUCGUAGGCGGCGCGGAAAGUAGGGUGUGAAAGCCCUCGGCUCAACCGAGGAAUUGCGCUCUAAACUACCGUGCUUGAGGAAGCUAGAGGUGAGCGGAACUGAUGGUGGAGCGGUGAAAUGCGUUGAUAUCAUCAGGAACACCGGAGGCGAAGGCGGCUCACUGGGGCUUUUCUGACGCUGAGGAACGAAAGCCAGGGGAGCGAACGGG